UACGGAGGGUGCAAGCGUUACUCGGAAUCACUGGGCGUAAAGGGUGCGUAGGCUGGCUUCUAAGUCAGAUGUGAAAUCCAAUGGCUUAACCAUUGAACUGCAUUUGAAACUGGGAGCCUAGAGUUCAGAAGGGGCAGAUGGAAUUAGUGGUGUAGGGGUAAAAUCCGUAGAUAUCACUAGGAAUAUCAAAAGCGAAGGCGAUCUGCUGGGAUGAUACUGACGCUGAGGCACGAAAGCGUGGGGAGCAAACAGGAUUAGAUACCCUGGUAGUCCACGCCCUAAACGAUGAAUGCUAGUCGUCGGGGUACUCGUUACUUCGGUGAUGCACUUAACAGAUUAAGCAUUCCGCCUGGGGAGUACGGUCGCAAGAUUAAAACUCAAAGGAAUAGACGGGGACCCGCACAAGUGGUGGAGCAUGUGGUUUAAUUCGAAGAUACACGAAGAACCUUACCUGGCCUUGACAUGGUAGGAACCCUUAAGAGAUUAGGGGGUGCUAGCUUGCUAGAACCUACACACGGGUGCUGCACGGCUGUCGUCAGCUCGUGUCGUGAGAUGUUGGGUUAAGUCCCGCAACGAGCGCAACCCUCGUCCUUAGUUGCUAACAGUUCGGCUGAGCACUCUAAGGAGACUGCCUUCGCAAGGAGGAGGAAGGUGAGGACGACGUCAAGUCAUCAUGGCCCUUACGGCCAGGGCUACACACGUGCUACAAUGGGGCGUACAAAGAGCUGCAAUACCGCGAGGUGGAGCCAAUCUCUUAAAGCGUCUCUCAGUUCGGAUUGUUCUCUGCAACUCGAGAACAUGAAGCUGGAAUCACUAGUAAUCGUAGAUCAGUUAUGCUACGGAGAAUACGUUCCCGGGUCU
rnacentral:rRNA from 1 species